rnacentral:rRNA from 1 species
CCUACGGGAGGCUGCAGUGGGGGAUAUUGCACAAUGGGGGGAACCCUGAUGCAGCGACGCCGCGUGGGUGAAGACGCUCCUCGACGCGUUAAGCCCUGUCAGCAGGGAAGAAAAUGACGGUACCUGAAGAAGUAGCCCCGGAUACCUACGUGCCAGCCGCAGCGGUAAUACGUCGGGGGCAAGCGUUAUCCGGAUUUACUGGGUGUAAAGGGGGCGCAGACGGCGAUGCAAUCCAGGAGUGAAAGCCCGGGGCCCAACCCAGGGACGGACCUUGGAACUGCUUGGCUGGAGUGCAGGAGGGGCAGGCGGAAUUCCUGGUGUAGCGGUGAAAUGCGUAGAUAUCAGGAGGAACACCGGUGGCGAAGGCGGCCGGCUGGACUUCAACUGACGUUGAGGCCCGAAAGCGUGGGGAGCAAACAGGAUUAGAUACCCUGGUAGUC